GCCUGUUUUAUCAAAAACAUCGCCUCUUGCUAAACCAGAAAUAUAAGAGGUCCCGCCUGCCCUGUGACUAUAUGUUCAACGGCCGCGGUACUUUGACCGUGCGAAGGUAGCGCAAUCACUUGUCUCUUAAAUGGGGACCUGUAUGAAUGGCAUAACGAGGGCUUGACUGUCUCCUCUUUCAAGUCAAUGAAAUUGAUCUCCCCGUGCAGAAGCGGGGAUAGGCACAUAAGACGAGAAGACCCUAUGGAGCUUUAGACACUAAAGCAGAUCAGCAUUAAUACCCUGAACAUAGGGCACGAAUAUACUAAACCCUGCCCUAAUGUCUUAGGUUGGGGCGACCGCGGAGAAGUAAAAAACCCCCGCAAGGACUGAAUGUACUACAUUCACAACCAAGAGCGACAGCUCUAAUUAACAGACACUUCUGACCAAUAAGAUCCGGCAACGCCGAUUAAUGAACCAAGUUACCCUAGGGAUAACAGCGCAAUCUCCUCUUAGAGCCCAUAUCAACGAGGAGGUUUACGACCUCGAUGUUGGAUCAGGACAUCCUAAUGGUGCAGCCGCUAUUAAGGGUUCGUUUGUUCAACGAUUAAAGUCCUACGUGAUCUGAGUUCAGACCGGA
rnacentral:rRNA from 1 species